UACAGAGGGUGCAAGCGUUAAUCGGAAUUACUGGGCGUAAAGCGUGCGUAGACGGUUAUGUAAGUCAGAUGUGAAAGCCCCGGGCUCAACCUGGGAAUUGCAUUUGAGACUGCAUAGCUAGGGUGCGGAAGAGGGAAGCGGAAUUUCCGGUGUAGCGGUGAAAUGCGUAGAUAUCGGAAGGAACAUCAGUGGCGAAAGCGGCUUCCUGGACCAGCACCGACGUCAGGCACGAAAGCGUGGGGAGCAAACAGG
rnacentral:rRNA from 1 species